AGUGAACGCUGGCGGUAGGCCUAACACAUGCAAGUCGAACGGCAGCGCAGUAAGAGCUUGCUCUUACGGGUGGCGAGUGGCGGACGGGUGAGGAAUACAUCGGAAUCUACUUUUUCGUGGGGGAUAACGUAGGGAAACUUACGCUAAUACCGCAUACGACCUACGGGUGAAAGCAGGGGAUCUUCGGACCUUGCGCGAGUGAAUGAGCCGAUGUCGGAUUAGCUAGUUGGCGGGGUACAGGCCCACCAAGGCGACGAUCGGUAGCUGGUCUGAGAGGAGGAUCAGCCACACUGGGACUGAGACACGGUCCAGACUCCUACGGGAGGCAGCAGUGGGGAAUAGUGGACAAUGGGCGCAAGCCUGAUCCAGCCAUACCGCGUGGGUGAAGAAGGCCUGCGGGUUGUAAAGCCCUUUUGUGGGGAAAGAAAAGCAGCAGGUUAAUACCCCGCUGUUCUGACGGUACCCAAAGAAUAAGCACCGGCUAACUUCGUG
rnacentral:rRNA from 1 species